rnacentral:lncRNA from 1 species
AAAUAUUGUUAAUAUUUUGGGUGUCUGAAUUUUAAAUUAUUUUUAGUUAACUAUCAAAUUGAUCAAAAUUUUAUUUUUAUUAUUUUAUUUUUCAAUUUGUUUGAUUUGAGAUUGUCUAGGUUACUUAAUAUAGUAUUCUUUGUGCAAUUUUUGUAAUUAUAAAUUUAUCAAAGUAGGUAAUUAACUUAAAUUUAAAGUCAAAAUAUCGUUGGCUAAUUCAAAUUAAAUAAAUUGAAAGAUUGUUCGGCAAAAUUAAAAUUUUAAAAGGUUGGAUAACCGAUUCAAAAUCGUUGAUAGUUCAGAUAUAUAAGUGCUUUAUAUUUUAACAUUUUAAAAUUAAAAGCUAUACUAGAUAAGAUAUUGCAGGUGUUAAAAGUGUUGUUAAUUGUUUUUGUAUAUAUAUAUAUAUAUUUCUGAGAGUAUAAUUUUAGGAUAAAUAUUUUGAAAUUAAAAGAUAUGUCCGAUGAAUCUAUAUAUACAUUCAAACUGUUAGCGGUGUCGUUAAUAUUUAUAUUCAACACUUCUCCUUAUAUCUGAUUUGAGACUUUUUUAAAAUCACUACUUACACAAUAAAAAUUUAUGGUAAAAUAUAAGGUGAAAAGUCAUGAUCUCACAGAACAAAUGAAUUUAUAUUUUGUUCUAAUAUUUAUUUAUGUUUAUUAUGUUAUAUAAAUGAUUAAUUUAGUAGAAAAUAGGCCUGAAAAUAUAUGUAUAUUAACGUAAACGAGUAGAUUUUAAGAACUUGUUUAAAUGUUGAAAUAAGUAAUACAGUGAUAA